CAGUAGCCACGGUAAUACGUAGGGUGCAAGCGUUAAUCGGAAUUACUGGGCGUAAAGCGUGCGCAGGCGGUUAUAUAAGACAGAUGUGAAAUCCCCGGGCUCAACCUGGGAACUGCAUUUGUGACUGUAUAGCUAGAGUACGGCAGAGGGGGAUGGAAUUCCGCGUGUAGCAGUGAAAUGCGUAGAUAUGCGGAGGAACACCGAUGGCGAAGGCAAUCCCCUGGGCCUGUACUGACGCUCAUGCACGAAAGCGUGGGGAGCAAACAGGAUUAGAUACCCCAGUAGUCCCUGUCUCUUAUAA
rnacentral:rRNA from 1 species